CCUACGGGAGGCAGCAGUGGGGAAUAUUGCACAAUGGGGGAAACCCUGAUGCAGCGACGCCGCGUGAAGGAAGAAGGUUUUCGGAUCGUAAACUUCUAUCAGCAGGGAAGAAGAAAGACGGUACCUGACUAAGAAGCCCCGGCUAACUACGUGCCAGCAGCCGCGGUAAUACGUAGGGGGCAAGCGUUAUCCGGAAUCACUGGGUGUAAAGGGUGCGUAGGCGGUGAGGUAAGUCAGAUGUGAAAGCCCGGGGCUCAACUCCGGGAUUGCAUUUGAAACUGCUUUACUAGAGUGCAGGAGAGGAAAGUGGAAUUCCUAGUGUAGCGGUGAAAUGCGUAGAUAUUAGGAGGAACACCAGUGGCGAAGGCGGCUUUCUGGACUGUAACUGACGCUGAGGCACGAAAGCGUGGGGAGCGAACAGGAUUAGAUACCCUGGUAGUCCACGCCGUAAACGAUGUCAACUAGACGUUGGGGGGUUUAACCCUUUAGUGUCGCAGCUAACGCGAUAAGUUGACCGCCUGGGGAGUACGGCCGCAAGGUUAAAACUCAAAUGAAUUGACGG
rnacentral:rRNA from 1 species